rnacentral:rRNA from 1 species
AACGAACGCUGGCGGCAUGCCUAACACAUGCAAGUCGAACGAGACCUUCGGGUCUAGUGGCGCACGGGAGCGUAACGCGUGGGAACCUGCCCUUAGGUUCGGAAUAACUCCCCGAAAGGGGUGCUAAUACCGGAUAAUGUCUUCGGACCAAAGAUUUAUCGCCUUUGGAUGGGCCCGCGUUGUAUUAGCUAGUUGGUAGGGUAAAAGCCUACCAAGGCGACGAUCCAUAGCUGGUCUGAGAGGAUGAUCAGCAACACUGGGACUGAGACACGGCCCAGACUCCUACGGGAGGCAGCAGUGGGGAAUAUUGGACAAUGGGCGAAAGCCUGAUCCAGCAAUGCCGCGUGAGUGAUGAAGGCCUUAGGGUUGUAAAGCUCUUUUACCCGGGAUGAUAAUGACAGUACCGGGAGAAUAAGCUCCGGCUAACUACGUG